CAAGUAAAAUCAUCAAUUCAGUAAUCGUAUAUCAGAAGUACAGCACAAAAUAUGAAGAUUCGAAUCCGGAUCUCCGAAAUAUGAAUUACGAAAAUACGUAGAACCUAUAAUUUACUAAACCGGAUCCAUUAUUUAAUUUAUCAACGUAUUAAAUCACAAUCACAAUAUUUACAAAAAAAUAAUAACCCAGUAAUUCAAAAGACAAAGUGACGUCAAGAGAAUUGUAAUGUAACAUCACACGACUUGAUCUUGACAGUGACUUUAGUUAUAACGUUUUUGCGUCAGUUAAUCAAAGGCUAUUCAACAAGUUUGUAAAAACCCUUAACGAAGACAACAUCUAUUAGUACGAAUCGAACCAAUUGACGUCGAUAAUUUAAACUUGGAAUGCUCUUGCGCAUAUAUAAAUCGAAGGGGGGCGCGGUUGCGUCAAACCGUAUCGAACGCUUGUGCUGUGAAGACGUGUUUGUGCAAUCAUUGUGAAAAUGUAUACCAAUCCGUUUGAGCGUAAACAUUCAUCUUUAAGACAAACAUUGGAUCGCAUUAUAGUGGAGACCAGACAUAGCAUCAGGAAGAAGCUGAGCCUGAAUAUAUCAAGGGCUAGUUCAUCGUCUAGUACGUCUUCGAGAUCCUCAAUUUACGAGUUCAAGAAGUACAAUGAGGAGAGAUGAAAGUGCCGUGUUCUGUGUGGAUAACAGUUUUUUGUGAUGCUAGUUCUGCUCAAUGAAAAGUCAGAACAGAGAACAUCGGACGUCAAUCUCACGUCACUCGAGCCAUUACAAACGCCCGAAUGAGUGUUAAUGAAGAUAUAACUUAGAAAAUAUAUCAUUUUAAUUGUCAAAA